GAAGUAGGCCGGGUAGUUGCGAGGACACGUCCGCAAGGAGGUCCUCGAGGAAAGUCCGAGCUCCACAGGGCAGGGUGCUGGGUAACACCCAGUGGGGGUAACCCUAAGGAAAGUGCCACAGAAAUAAACCGCCCGCGUAUUGGAGGUUGGAGGUUAGAAAUAAGGAAUUGGUUGAAAAAUUUACUCAGGUUUUGGAAGGGGUUUUCCAACUUCCAACUUCCAACCUCCAACCUCCAAUAUGGGGAAAGGGUGCAACGGUGCGGUAAGAGCGCACCAGCGGCCAGGUGACUGGCCGGCUAGGUAAACCCCACCCGGAGCAAGACCAAAUAGGAGAGGUGUGAAGUUGCCCGCUGAUCUCUCGGGUUAGGUCGCUGGAGGUGUCAGGCAACUGGCACCCUAGAUAGAUAACUACCCAAGACAGAACUCGGCUUACAGGUCUACUUCAAAA
rnacentral:RNase_P_RNA from 1 species